GACGAAGGGGGCUAGCGUUGUUCGGAAUUACUGGGCGUAAAGCGCGUGUAGGUGGUUGUCAUAGUCAGGUGUGAAAGCCUUGAGCUCAACUCAAGAAAUGCACUUGAUACUGGGCGACUAGAGGACCGGAGAGGAUAGUGGAAUUCCCAGUGUAGUGGUGAAAUACGUAGAGAUUGGGAAGAACACCAGUGGCGAAGGCGGCUAUCUGGACGGUUUCUGACACUAAGACUCGAAAGCGUGGGGAGCAAACAGG
rnacentral:rRNA from 1 species